rnacentral:rRNA from 1 species
UACGUAGGGGGCAAGCGUUGUCCGGAUUUAUUGGGCGUAAAGAGCGUGUAGGCGGCUUUACAGGUCCGUUGUGAAAACUCGAGGCUCAACCUCGAGACGCCGGUGGAAACCGUAAAGCUAGAGUCCGGAAGAGGAGAGUGGAAUUCCUGGUGUAGCGGUGAAAUGCGCAGAUAUCAGGAGGAACACCCGUGGCGAAAGCGGCUCUCUGGGACGGUACUGACGCUGAGACGCGAAAGCGUGGGGAGCAGACAGG